ACCAUAUUGGGGUUUGCAUUCCCACCACUAACGCCGCCCUGGUGAUAUAUUAAAAAAACUAACUCCUAAUCUACUUGAAAAAAAAGGUAGGAUAUGUAUUCCCCUGAAAAAAAGAGAGUGAUGAAGAGAGAAUAUUUUGAUGCGAAAUAAUUUUUUGUAUAUAUAUAUAAAUAUUAAUUUAUUUUUUAUAUUUAAAAAUAGCAACGUACAUUUUAUAUCUUCCAAUCAUGUCUCAUUUUUAAUAACAUAUCAAGCAUAACUUAAUUUAUAUACAUCAAAUUAAACUCGAAUUUCGUAUGUUGAGUUUAACAUACAGUAUGUUCCGGCCGGAACAUACUAUAAGCACUCUUAACCUAUCGCUUUUGUACCGACUGCUCCAUUGGUGGAUUAAUUCUUAAUAUAAUCUUUCCAAAUCGUCAGCGUUGAUUUCAAUUUUCAAAUAGAGAGAGAAGCAACUUAAAAACAAGUGCCACAUCAGCAGCUCCACGAAGGCGGGAUGGGGUGCGAAAUUUCAACACGUUAAAGUAGACGUCCCGUUGUAAACGGAACGGAGCAAAUUAAAAAGCCCAAAAAACACAAUGAGACAAAAAUAGGCAGUCACUUUUGAUAGAAAAGACAAAAAUAUCCUCACUUUUAUACCUUGAUAAGAUGUUUUCUUAAAUAUUCGGAAACUAAAAGGUUUAGUGCUCCCGG
rnacentral:lncRNA from 1 species